rnacentral:miRNA from 7 species
UGAGGCGUUUAGAACAAGUUCA